rnacentral:rRNA from 1 species
GUCCUACGGGGCGCAGCAGUGGGGAAUAUUGCACAAUGGGGGAAACCCUGAUGCAGCGACGCCGCGUGAAGGAAGAAGUAUUUCGGUAUGUAAACUUCUAUCAGCAGGGAAGAAAAUGACGGUACCUGACUAAGAAGCCCCGGCUAACUACGUGCCAGCAGCCGCGGUAAUACGUAGGGGGCAAGCGUUAUCCGGAUUUACUGGGUGUAAAGGGAGCGUAGACGGCAGUGCAAGUCCGGAGUGAAAGCCCGGGGCUCAACCCUGGGACUGCUCUGGAAACUGUAAAGCUGGAGUGCGGGAGGGGG